AAUGGAAGACUUGGGCGAAAGUCCCCUGCCCAAGUAGAGACACAACCUUGUAUUCCACGCAGCCAGUCUCGUCUUUU
rnacentral:RNase_MRP_RNA from 12 species